ensembl:processed_transcript Gm27208 predicted gene 27208
AAGGGCUCUCUUCAUUUGAGGCCUACAUUCUAGUAUGGAAGACAGGUGGUGGGAAGGGGUUUGAAGGGAUCAAGGCAGGCAGAAGUGAGUGGCUGGUUUAGGAAAACAGCAGGACACUUUCUCUAGGGAGGAACGUGGAAGAGUCAGCUACUACAAAAUGGUUCAAGGAUGGUCUAGGCUGGGUAAGAGUAAUAUCCUUCAAGCUAUGCCAAGCCUGGAGUAGGUGGUGGUAGUAGUGGUGGAGUUGGGGCAGAGGAGGGAAGAUGGAGGUGUGCCACUAUGCAUAGGAGCCAUAGGAAGGUUGUAACACCACAGAGAUCCCCCCCCAGAACUUUUUAGUAAACGUUAUAGGCUGCCACCGUACAAUGAAUGCACUACAGGGAGUUAAGAGUGCAAGCCAGAGCAGCAGGAGCAGGUGUGGGUGGGGCCAGUGCUGCAGUCACCCGGGGAGGUUGCUGGGGUGAGUGUGCACUGCAAACCAAAAGUCCAUGUGAAGUACUCUCCAUGCGCUCAAUCUCAGCGACCUUGUAGAAGCUGCCUGCCCCCAGUCCUCCCUCGAGUGCUAGCCAGACGGAUGGUCAGUGCAGGACUAUGGUUGGGGUUUGGAGACAGGGCAGGCCUGAGCUUAGCAGCCAAGAGCCUUCUGGUGAUGUUAGCCAUUUCUAGGAAAGCCAAGAUCCAACUUUUUAUUUCUAACUGAUGGUGACUUCCUGGGUCAUGAUGGAGGACAAGCAUUUUCCACAAAGAGGAAGGCAUAUUUUGGAGACUACCACAGCGUGCACUUAAGACUUGGGUCCCUGGUCUGCACUGAGCCAUCAUGAGGGAUGUUGGCUUCAGCAGAACCAGCCUACAGCACCUUUCCCAACACUGUCCUGGACUUUUCCCAGCUGUGAGAUCUAGAAGAGAAGCAGCAGGAGGUAAAGAGAAACCUGCAGCGGUCCUCCUUCAUGCCAUGCAGCCUCUGCCCCAUGAUGGAAGCCCAGGGCAUGGAGGAGAUGAGGAUGUUCCUAUCAGCAUCACCACUGAGCGCUUACUCAAUGGCAGGACCCAAGCUGAACACUUUACACUUCUCACUUGAUUCCU